rnacentral:rRNA from 1 species
UACGGAGGGGGCUAGCGUUGUUCGGAAUUACUGGGCGUAAAGCGCGCGUAGGCGGACCUGCAAGUCGGGGGUGAAAGCCCGAGGCUCAACCUCGGAACUGCCUUCGAUACUGCAGGUCUCGAGUCCGGGAGAGGUGAGUGGAAUUCCUAGUGUAGAGGUGAAAUUCGUAGAUAUUAGGAAGAACACCAGUGGCGAAGGCGGCUCACUGGCCCGGUACUGACGCUGAGGCGCGAAAGCGUGGGGAGCAAACAGG